rnacentral:rRNA from 1 species
CUACGGGAGGCUCCAGUGGGGAAUUUUGCGCAAUGGGGGCAACCCUGACGCAGCAAUACCGCGUGAGUGAAGAAGGCCUUUGGGUCGUAAAGCUCUUUUCUAAGGGAAGAUAGUGACGGUACCUUAGGAAUAAGCACCGGCUAACUCCGUGCCAGCAGCCGCGGUAAUACGGAGGGUGCGAGCGUUGUUCGGAUUUACUGGGCGUAAAGGGCACGUAGGCGGCCUAGCAAGUUAAGGGUGAAAUCCCGGGGCUCAACUCCGGAACUGCUCUUAAAACUGCUAAGCUAGAGAUAGUCAGAGGCGGGUGGAAUUCCAGGUGUAGAGGUGAAAUUCGUAGAUAUCUGGAGGAACACCGGUGGCGAAGGCGGCCCGCUGGGGCUAUUCUGACGCUGAGGUGCGAAAGCGUGGGGAGCGAACGGGAUUAGAUACCCCGGUAGUC